GCGAUCUUAGCUCAGUUGGUAGAGUACUUGCAUGACAUGCAAGGUGUCACAGGUUCGAGUCCUGUAGGUCGCACCA
rnacentral:tRNA from 2 species